AGUAAUUUUGUCACUAGUUACUAUAUUACUGGAAGAUGUAUUCCUAGGCUUUAAGAUUUGUGAAGGGUGUGAGUCUAACUUCUCAAACCGAAUUUGACAGGGACGUAGCAGUGUUUUAAAAAGUCAGUGAAAGGAAAGAGGUAUGUUCAGCAUUUCUGUUCCAUCUUAACACAUUCUUUUUCUCAUUUUAGCAGUGGUAAUAUUUUAUGUUAUUUUGGUUUGAUUUUUGUUUGUGUCAUAUGGCUCUGCUGUCCUACGACUCUAAGUAGAAGAGAAAAUAGUACCAAUAAUUUCUUCAUGGUGAUGCACCUCUCUGUCUUAAGUCUUGAACAAUGUUUGAGGAAAAGUGCCCUCAGCUGGGCCGAUGAGAACAUUCUUGGCACUCUUUUCUGCAGUGGGCACUGAUUGAGGGUCUUCCUGGUGUGGCAUCAUCAGAUCCCUGUUGCUCAAACCCACUAAUUAGCUGGUUCUUAUCUACAAGUAGCAGGGGCCUUAAAGCUCUCUGAGAAGAUCUCACACUGUGUCUCCUACAUUUCAUCUUCUAUAAUCUCUCAUUCUUAGAGACAGAAAGGUGGUUAAAAGACAUCAUUUCUUUCUCUGGAUUUGGAAAGAGUUAUAUAUUGGAAUUAUGCUGUUAGUUUACACUUGCAUUGUUUAAAUUAGAGGAAAGGUUAUUUCGUACAGAAAAAAUAAAAAUACUCUUUAACUAACUUUCAGAAUAUCCCAACUUUUAACAUAAGCUGUUUUGUAAAGGCUGGUUAUAGUGACUUCCUUCAUAAUAGACUUAAAAUAGGAUGCUUUGAAAUCUUGUUCUUUUCUUUACAAUACCAUAUAUCAGCUUUGUUUUGAGAGGCAAACUCAAUUUUCCCCUCAAAUUAGGAAAUUACUGUAAGGAACUGGAAUGACACACCAGAAGAGAUUACAUUAUAGCGGGGAGGACUAGCAUGGGGGUUUCUUUACAAACACUAGACUGGACUAUGGAUUAUAAUUUACUUAGUGUUAAUAGUUGCAGUUAUACAUCAAGGACAAAAUAGAUGUUCUUUAGUUUUUUGUCACCGAGCAGAGGAGAAACAGGGAAACAACAAAGGCCAAAUAAUUCCCAGCCAUUGCUGCUUUGUUUGCAUGGAGCCUUUUGAAAUGUGAACUAAGAAUAUUUCUCAGAAGAUUUUUAGGUGAUUCAUAUACACAGUAAGGUUUCAGAAGUGCCAUAUUCGAGGGCAUAUGGAAACCCAUGGCUUUUCUGCUAGAGGAUUGUCAAAAGUCCAGAAUUUCAUAACUAAAUACCACGAAUUUAGUAUAGUAGAGCACAGAACUAAAGGCUCUCUUGUGGCUGCAAAGAAUUGACUUCACAUAGCAUAAACUAUAAUCCAAGACAGUGACUUAGACAUAAGAGAGAAUAGAACUUGGUAACUGUUUGGGACUGUUUUACAGAGUGAUCAUGUAUAUUUCUAUAUUAUUCUAAAAAAAUUAUUAUAUUUAUACAAAAAUUGUUACAACCAUGUACAAGUGUGCAUAAACAAACAGUGUAUUUAUGUAGUCUUUAUUUGAAUGUCAGGCCAGUUAGAGAAGCUAGACGUGUAUAACCAGUUUUGUCUUAACAAUCAAGUUCAGAAAAUAAUACGUAGACUUCCACCUAGUUCCUUUUCUGAAUAAUAUUACAGACUUAAGGAAGCUAAUAAGAGUCCAAGAUUCUCUGAGUGCCUUUGUGAAUUACUUCACCUGAUUCAUGUAUGUACUUUCGUAUAAUGGCUUUUAAUAUUGAGGAAUAUUUGGAUAUUAAAAUAUUAGCGUAAUUCUGAGCUCAUUAAGUUGUAGAUUGUCAUUUUUUAUGAGGAUUUACUUUCCUGGUACAACAUGUUUUCAUCACUAGUUAUAAUGUAUUUUUUUACUUUUGGCUUAGAUUUUGAGCCCUCUAUUCAUGAAAUAUCAAAUGUAGUUCUUUAGGUAUGCUGCUUUCUAAUUAGGAAGCAGAAUGUGAUUGCCUACUAUUUUCUAGCCACAUACCUACAAGUGAAUAAAGGAUGGAAUUCAGACCAUGGUUUAUGAAAUUCAGGCGUUUUUGAGUACUUCCAAGUAUUUCUCAAGUAACUUGGUUAUGGUUUUGAAUGACUAGGAAAAUGCUUUGCUUUGUUUGAAAGGGAAAUUGUUCAAAAAUGAGAUCCAAUGGAAAACACAGAGGGUGCUACAAAUGCAGAGACGUUGUAUAAACCUAUAAGAAUUUUACGUGGAACGAGAAUUUUGAUGCCUCUUAAAAGGAAACCAAUGAGAUUCCUUAUUCAUUAGUAUUUUGAAAGUUGGCAGUGGAGUGAGGAUCUGUGGGGGAAGGGACAGCUGGAUCUUGCACUCAGGACUUCUGUCCUCUGCUCCUCAAAGAACUCAUUAGUCACUGUUCUCACUCCCACCCUGGCACCGAGGAAAAUGUUGAUGUUUCCACCUUUCCCACCCCGGCCUAUUUAGGGCAUACAACCCUUCCUGAAUUUCCUACAGUACAGUUGAGAUCACACCGUAGCCUCUAACAAGCAUUUACCAGAGAUUCAGGGAUGACAACAGAGAACUGCAAUAUAAUAAGUAACAGAUAACCACUCCAUGUUGUUGCAUGCACUUCAGAGUGUAUAUAGUCCAUUCUCACCUUACAGGAGAACCAGGAAAAGAGAACGAUUUGGGAAGGUCUCUCAUUUAAUUUUUCCCACACUGCUGCCUCUUCUGUCUUUGACUUGUUUCUUCCUCUCACUUAGGAGGAAGUGGUUCUCAGAUAAUUGGCUAAUCACUUCUUUAUGGUCGUGAACUCAGAGACUUAUCUGUUAUGAGGGGAGAAGCAUAAAAAAGAUUACAUCAUGUGAACUCUUGAAAUAAAAUGCCUCAAGACAUAAGAGAGGCCCUUACCACUGUCAUUCUCAAAAGGAAAGCUUAGUAGGCUACAGAGAUUUAAAAAGCAAGCAAACAGGCAACCAAGCCAAUAACAAAGACCUGAAGAAAAUUCCGGAAUAAUCUUCAACCUGUGCUUUCACAUGCUAAAAUUUUGUAAUGAAAAAGAUUUCUUAAACUAUGUAUCUUAUGGUGUCAAUGGUCAGUGUGGUGGUAGUAGUUGUGAUUUGGGCUGCUUUUUUCCUUGUUCAUUUUUUCCAAAUUUUAUUUGGGAAAUUUGUGCUGUUCCAUUGUGAACUAAAGUUAUAUAUACUGGAUGAUACAACUUUAACUCCUAUGAGUAUGUUUGGCUAUGUUUUUGGAAUUAGGUAUUAUACAUGCCACCUUGUGGCCAUUAUUAAGAAAACACCUAACAUGAAGAUGGGAAACAGGAUCUUUAGUGACAGCAGCUUGGGCUUGGAGCAGUGCUUUCCGAAGCCUCUUUCUCCAACAACAUCUUUAGAACUCUUAGAACCUGGAUAUCACAUUUUAGUGGAAGGAGACAGACAGUAAAUAAAAUAAAGUAUAAUAAGUGCUCUGGAGAAAAGUAACGCAAAGAAGAGGGCCAGAAAGUAUCAAAGAGUGUGAAAGUACAAAUAAGGUACUCUUGGAAGACCUCACUAAGGUCACAUUUGAGCAGAGAUCUGAACAGGAUGAGAGACAACUUGGGGUGGGGAGCAGAAUAAUGUUUCAGAUAUGGACAUUGCAACUGCGAAGCCUGAGACAGGAAUUUGCCUGGCCUGUUCCAGCUUAGCAAAGAAAGAGGCCUGUGUUGCUGAUACUCAGAGAGGAGGGAGACAAUAGUAGAAAAUGCAAUCAGAAAAGUGACCAGAUGCAGGAGUGACUAAGGCUUUGUAGACUGCUGUAUGGACUCUGAAUGAAAUGAGCGGUCAUUGAUGGGUUUUUUGCACAGAAGGGUCCUAGUGUGUUUUAAAAGGAACAUUCUGGAUUCUAUAUUAAAAACAGACUGAGAAGCGCAAGGGAAAGAACAGGAAGAGCGAUUAGGAGGCUGUGGUAGAUUAUUAUUCAGCAAAUAUUCACCCUACUGUCCUCUCCAUAAAAUUUCCCCAGCCCAUCAUCACUGGAUUUGUGUAUUUGACUUGCUUUAGUCAAUGGAAAGUGAGUGAAAAGUGAUUAUGUGCCAGUGGGGAGGCAAAACCUUAAAAGACCCAGCAAAUUUCUUCCAACCCUUUUGUGCAUCUGCCAGAAGAAUACUGCAAGCAGCCAGUGCCCCUUAAGCCUGGGCCUCAGAACGAGAGAUAUGGAGCAAACCUGAACCUGACCAGCAGCCUAGAGCGAAGCCAGGGUGACCCUGCAAAGCCCAGCCAAGCAUAGCAAAGCCACAGACUUGUAGACCAAUGAGCGUGAAAUAAAUUGCAUUGAAAGC